rnacentral:rRNA from 1 species
UUCCGGUUGAUCCUGCCGGACCCCACUGCUAUCGAGGUGAGACUUAGCCAGGCCAGUCGAACGACUCGGACUAUGGCGAGAAGUGGCAAACUGCUCAGUAACACGUAGCCAACCUACCCUCAGGACGGAGAAAACCCCGGGAAACUGGGGUUAAUCCCCGAUAGGCGUGGAUUCCUGGAAUGGUGUCACGCCGAAACGUUAACACACCAUGUUUGUGUACACGCCUGAGGAUGGGGCUGCGGCCGAUCAGGCAGUUGGUGAGGUAACGGCUCACCAAACCUUUGACCGGUACGGGCCGUGAGAGCGGUAGCCCGGAGAUGGACACUGAGACAAGGGUCCAGGACCUACGGGUCGCAGCCGGUACGAAACCUCCACAAUGCACGAAAGUGCGAUGGGGUUACCUCGAGUGCCGUCUGAAGAAGGCGGCUUUUCCAUUGUGUAAUGAGCCGUGGGAAUAAGGGGGGGGCAAGACUGGUGUCAGCCGCCGCGGUAACACCAGCCCCCCGAGUGGUGGGGAUGUUUAUUUGGCCUAAAACGUCCGUAGCCAGCUAGGUAAAUCUCUCGUUAAAUCCAGCGUCCUAAGCGUUGGGCUGCGAGAGAGACUGCCAAGCUAGAGGGUGGGAGAGGUCAGCGGUAUUUCUGGGGUAGGGGCGAAAUCCAUUGAUCCCAGGAGGACCACCAGUGGCGAAGGCUGCUGACUAGAACACGCCUGACGGUGAGGGACGAAAGCUGGGGUAGCGAAUCGGAUUAGAUACCCGAGUAGUCCCAGCCGUAAACGAUGCACGCUAGGUGUUGGGUUGGCCACGUGCCGACUCAGUGCCACAGGGAAGCCAUUAAGCCUGCUGCCUGGGGAGUACGGUCGCAAGGCUGAAACUUAAAGGAAUUGGCGGGAGAGCACCACCAGGCGUGAAGCCUGCGUUUAAUUGGAUUCAACGACGGA